rnacentral:rRNA from 1 species
AGGGUUUGAUUAUGGCUCAGGAUGAACGCUGGCGGCGUGCUUAACACAUGCAAGUCGAACGAGGGCGAUAGCAAUAUUGCCCGAGUGGCGGACGGGUGAGUAACGCGUGAACAAUCUGCCUGUAUCAGGGGAAUAACACUAAGAAAUUGGUGCUAAUACCGCAUAAGACCACGGAGAGGCAUCUCCCCGGGGUAAAAGAAUAAUCGGAUACAGAUGAGUUCGCGUCCCAUUAGGUAGUUGGUGAGGUAACGGCCCACCAAGCCGACGAUGGGUAGCCGACCUGAGAGGGUGAUCGGCCACAUUGGAACUGAGAGACGGUCCAG